rnacentral:tRNA from 1 species
GUCUUAGCGGUGUAACGGUAGCACACUUGGCUCGUGCUCGAGAGAUCCAGGUCCGAGUCCCGGCGAGGGCA